GCCAAUUGGGAAUGUGAAAUAAACGGUGGUGAGCAGCAAAAAUUGCUCUGAUACCAUAUUGAAGAAAAGAGGAAUUUUGGAAGAAUGGAAUGAAAUUCUCGUUCAGUCAAAAUGAUUAUUAGUACAACGGAAUGCUUAAAUAGAAUUGAUUAACUAAUUCUAACAAUCAACUAGCUUGACAGCUGUAUACAACUAAUUUCUAGCUAAUUUUGGCGCCUAAAUCCUCUUGAGCUGAGCUGAUUGUUCUGUUGGCUGAUUUGAUGAGCUGUCCGGUGCUCAUUUAUUCUAAUAAUUUCACCGCUUAUUUCAUCACGAACUAUCCUCUCUAAUCAGAAACCCAGAUCGCAAAAUUCCUCUUUUCCAAUUUUCACCUUCCAUUCAUCCUCCAAAAUCCUCUAUUUCUCGCAUUUCUCCACAAAAAGCAACGAUAAUGGAAACUUUGGAGACAAUUCGGCAACCUCAACUUCAGAGUUAUGGCAGCUAAACGCAGAAAUUGAGCAAGAUAUUGACCCGAUUUUUUCUGUAGAAUCUGGAACCCUAGAGGAAAUCCAUGACCAAAAUGCCGAGGAACUGAAAAAAUAUUGAUGAUGGGAUAGAUGGAAUGUUUAAAGUGGUUGAAGAAAAGGGGGGAAAUGACGGGAAUAGUGAAAUAUUUAGAGGGGUGGAAGAGAAGAUUAAUGGUUGAAGCGAGGUCUGGGCCACCAUGGAGGAGAACGAGCCGUGGAGUUUCGCGGCUGAGGAGAAGGAUGGUAAAGAUGACGAAGUGUUUGGUCUUGGAGGAGAGAGUUGAGAAAUGGGGUUGAGUGGCUUAGGAGGUGGUAGUGGGGUGAGAGUAGGAAGUGAAAA
rnacentral:lncRNA from 1 species